rnacentral:rRNA from 1 species
GAUGAACGCUGGCGGCGUGCCUAAUACAUGCAAGUCGAGCGAACAGACGAGGAGCUUGCUCCUCUGACGUUAUCGGCGGACGGGUGAGUACCACGUGGUCAACCUACCUAUACGACUGGGAUAACUUCGGGAAACCGGAGCUAAUACCGGAUAAUAUAUUGAACCGCAUGGUUCAAUAGUUAAAGACGGUUUUUCUUUCACUAAUAGAUUAAUCCGCCCCGCAUUAGUUAGUUGGUAAGGUAACGGCUUACCAAGGCAACGAUGCGUAGCCGACCUGAACGGGUGAUCCGCCACACUGUCUCUGAGGCUCGGUACAGACUCUGACAGUGAGAAGCGGCAGGGACUCUUCCGGGAUGCGCGAGUGCGUGACGGAGCAACACCGCCUGAGUGAUGAAGGACUUCGGAUCGUAGAACGCUGUUAUUAUGGAGGUAGUAAAGCUUAAGUAACUAUGAUCAUCUUGACAGUACCGAGUCAGAAAGCCACGGCUAACUACGUG